GUCGGGGUAGUUCAGUGGUUAGAACGCCGCGCUCAUAAACUCUGUUGAAUGAGCUAUGAUUUGAUGAUUAGGUGAAUCGCGGAGGUCGUGGGUUCAAUUCCCACUCUCGACA
rnacentral:tRNA from 1 species